GAUGGAUCCGCUUUUAUUCGGAACCAUUUCGAUACUUGUUCCAAACUCCUCUCUCAGCUCAAGGUCUUGCUGACAGAGUUUAGAAGCCUUCCACCAUUGUUUGAAGAAACUCCCAAUGCCGUUCAUGAGUUGACAUUAGCAAGGGAUAUAUAUGAGCAUGCAGUUGUUUUUAAGUGUGAAGAUUGAGGACCAGGAUGCCUUUGAAAGGGAUUUUUUUUUCAGUUGAUACCUUACUAUACAGAGGCACAGCAACUUCUUAUGUCUUUUUCCUUUUUUUUUUUUGGAUGACCUUUAUAUUUUAAAUAUCCUUGACAAAAAUGGGUGGCAAAAGAUGAAAUUAGGACCACAUGUUUUCAGGUUGUAUAAAAAAGGUCAUGUACUUUUUUUGCCAUGUUUGAGUUGAUUUGGAGUCAUUUUUUGAGGAGAAUUUUUAGCUAUGCUUCUUUUCCCCCUCCGUAGGUUAGAUGACCUCAAAAAACUAAACCGGACAACGAAUUGUUUAGAUGUUCUAAUUUGUGUGGGCUAUUAUGUUAACAUUUUGGUUUCUUCAGAUUGAAACCAGGUUUUUCUCAUCAGACUUUUUUUUUUUUGUUGGUUGGUGCAAGUAGUAGCUGUUGGGUUUGAUGGACAAAAACACCACCUUCAGUUUAUGUUGUCUUGCUGCUUACCUAUGUAAUGAAUUAUUGUGUUGGAUGAGAAACAUAUUUUUAAAUGCAUUGCCUUCAAGCUAUAACUUCUAUGUGCUUCAUAUCUGUAUUAAUUUGAAUUAGCUAAUCCUCGUUGCCGUCAUGGAGGAGGAGCUAGUGUACAUGUGACACUCAGUGCAUAGUAACUUAUCCAAACAAUUAGACUGAAUUUAAGGUAUAUGAAGGAUUUUUGUAUAUGUUUUUUUAGUACAUGUCUGUUUGUGUUCGUUCCUGCUAGAUCCAUAUGUCACAGUGUGCCGCUUUUGGAAAGUCCUCAAGCAGUUAACAAUAAAGGCAAAACAUCCUACACAUUAAUUUCAUGAUUGUGAACAACUUUUUUCUAUUUCUAGUGGCAUAUAGUGGGGGUAAUGUGGUUGACAAUGUGUCGAUGAAUUGGGUAGUCAGUCUUCAAUAAUGCAAUUGAGACAGGCAUGGCCAUUGUUGAUUUCUGUCUGGUUCUAAGAGUGAGCUUACUGCUUAUUUAUCUUAUUUAUCUUGUUUACCUUUUGAAUUUGAAAGGUAAUGGUCAUGACUUUUUUUUUCUUUGAUGGAGCAGUGGCCGCCUUCCACCAUCUCCUCAGGAGUAUCCUAUCUUAGGUCUCAACCUUUUGAGACUCCUUGUGCAGAAUAGAAUUGCUGAAUUCCACACUGAAUUGGAAUUGCUUUCAGCCAGUGCUAUGGGCGAAUAAUUGUAUCAAGCAUGCUGUAGAACUGGAGCAAUCGUUUAUGGAGGGGGCUUACAACUGUGUCUUGAGUGCGAGACAGACUGUACCCCAUGAAACUUACGUUUAUUUCAUGUUCUGUUGGCAAAGACAGUAAGGUAAACUGUGUGACUUUACUUAUGGCAGAGAUUAAAAGGAGAGGCAAGAGUUGAAAUAAUAACUGAUUUUUUAGGGUGUUUUAUUUGAUUAUAGUUGUUCAUUCCAUUCAUAUAAUAUCAUGUAUUCUUUUAAGUGGAGGAAAAUGAGGGCAUUUAUGAGAGUUUGCUAGUUGACAGUCGCAACCAAUAGUUGAAUUUCGUUUGGGCGGAAAUAAUGAUGCAAAUUAAAUGAACGUUGGUUGGUAUUACUGCUUUUACAUACGCACAUUGUCUACUUGGUAGUAACAGUGACUAUCCCACUACAUUUGAAUUAUGGUGAGGUCUAUGUUCAUAUGUUUUGUUAAUGUUUUUCUAUCCCUUUUGCUACAUUUGUUGAUAAUAUCAAGUUAGUGACCUGAGAACAGGGAUUUAUAGAUAAAUUCUCUAUAUACAUAUGCACUGCGGACUGAUCAAUCACUCUUCGUCUUUUCGUAUUUUUUUUCAUUCCAACUAUGGUAGCAUGUGCACUCUGGAAAGGGUUGGUUGGUAGUACUGCUUUUACAUAUGCACAUUGUCUGCUUGGUAGCAACAUUGACUUUCCUACUGAAUUUGAAUUAUAUUAAGUGAGACCUAUGUAAAUUUGUUUUGGUUAUCACGUUUUUAUCUCUCUUUUGCUACAUUUGUUUAUAACAUCAAGUUAGCGACCUGAGAAGUGGGAUUUACGCCUACAUUUAUGCAUACAUAUGCACUGCAGAGAGAUCGCUCACUCUUUUCGUUUCUUAUUUUGUUCAUUCCAACUCUAGUAGCAUGAGCACUUUGAAAAGUGUGGGUUGGUAUGUUAUUGCUUUAGAUACACACAUUGUCUACUUGGUAGAAAGUGUGGCUAGUUUUGUGCCCUUAGUAGUUCAUUGUCUUUUGCAGAGAUGAAAUAGCUGGAUGCAGCAAAAAGGCCUACGAUUCACUUUCAAUUAAUGAUGCCCGGAAAAUAUUGGUGUUCUCUUCAGACAAAGAACUUUUUAAUAUGUCAAAGAGAUCAUGCCACAUUGCAAAAUCCGUGGUCCACCUGUGGGAAUCACAACUUGUCUCCUCCCACACCUAAGUCUCUUCAAGCCGUACACCAAGAAAUUACUUCUGACACAUUGGAAGAGACAGACGAAAUUAUUUCUGAUACCUCGGUAGAGGCCCAAAU